rnacentral:lncRNA from 1 species
UGAAGGUUUCUCAGCUUCUGAAUCUGGUUUCACUGUUUUCUUAGCUGGUUCAUUGAUAUGAGUUUCCUCUAAAGGUUUCUGAGCUUCUGACUCUACUAUCACUGUUUCCUUAGCUGGUUCAUUGAUAAGAGUUUCCUCUGAAGGUUUCCUAGCUUCUGACUCUACUAUCACUGUUUCCUUGGCUGGUUCAUUGAUAAGAGUUUCCUCUGAAGGUUUCCUAGCUUCUGACUCUACUAUCACCGUUUCCUUAGCUGGUUCAACGAUAAGAGUUUCCUCUGAAGGUUUCUUAGUUUCUGACUCUAUUAUCAAUGUUUCCUUAGCUGGUUCAAUGGCAAGAGUUUCCUCUGAAGGUUUCUGAGCCU